GAUGGCCAAACACCCUAACUAUCAUGGUAGAACUCUCAUCCAAUGACUGAUAGAAGUGGAUGCAGAGAUCCCGACCAGGCCCCAGGUGGACCUCCGGGAGUCCAACCGGCUAGAAAGAGGAGAAAGAAUGAAAUCUUCUAAAUGGUUUUGUGAGAACUACUUAGUAAUGCUUGAGUUGAAUGGUUCCCCAAGAGGCUGAGCACUAUGCCUGUGUACAGAGAUGAGACAUAUUGCUUCUGAAUGUGCCUUGAUCUGCAAGCUGAAGGAACAGAACACCUUUACGCAGCUGGAGCUUCUGAGAACAGGAUCAUACACAAAGAAACUGAGAUCAGAGCUGUGCUCAGACAGCAUGACCCAAGGAGCUGAAGACCCACCAGGCAACAGAAGGCUCGGGCAUUCAGAGGCCUGAAAUAGACAGCCGGGAACAUGUCAGACAAGGUCCGAUGUGGGCUCUGAAGUCAGAGAUUUUUAUUAACUAAACUCCUGGGAGACUGGGAAUACCUCAACCUCUGAGAUUGGCAACCACAAUUUGUUGAGACUUGUGGAGACUCCUGAUUAAACAGACGAGGAAUGAGGAGCACUUGGAAUGGGAAAUUGCUUAUCAGAAGCAAGCAGAAGAUUGGGCACAGGAGACAGAAGGCUUGUCUACACAGCCUGGCACAGACCCUGGCAGGCCAACUACACCUGGGAACAGAACAGCAGCUCUUCACGAGGUAGAAGUCUUGGUGUCAGUGACUUUAGUCUUCAUCUUUUACAGUUGCCUGAGGAGGGCUUGCUUUUCAUUUUCUAGGAAAAUAAAUCAGC